AUGGGGUGCACCACCUCGAGGCAAGCUCGGCAUGACCUCCGGUACUGCCCGUCGCCGCUCCCGCUACCGCGCUGCCAGUCGUUCCCCGCCCGCUUCGACGCCGGCGUCCACCUCGUGCGGCUCACGUCGUCCACGCUCGGGUCCCUUGAGGUCGACAAGGCCGCCGGACCGCGUGCGCCCGAGGUCGCUGAUGCCGGCGCGCGCGCGCCCAGGAGGAUGGUGCCGCGCACACCGACCAUGACGCCGCCCAACGAGCCCGAGGACAUCGACGCGUGGGCGCUCAUGGCCGGCCUGGAGGAGCACUCGCCGUUGCUGGCCGCGCCGUUCGGGCGCCACUCCUUCUCGUUCCCGAUUGCCGCCACGGCACAGCAGGAGUUCGCCGCGUCAUCCAAGGUCACGCCGCUGCCCAUGAGGAUGCCUUCCGUGAACGACGAGGAGAUGGCGAGCAAGGCCAAGGCGCCGCCGCGCAAGGCCGUGCUCUACUUCACGUCGCUGCGCGGCGUGCGCGCCACGCACGAGGACUGCAGCCUGGCGCGCGCCAUCCUCAAGGGCUACGGGGUGCGCAUCGACGAGCGGGACGUGUCCAUGCACCGCGGUUUCCGCGACGAGCUCCACGGCCUCCUCGGCCUCAGGGCGGGCGCCAUGGCCAAGUGCUGGGCGCCGGCCGCGCCGACCCUGCCGAGCCUGUUCGUGGACGGGGAGCUCGUGGGCAACGCGGAGGAGCUGAAGCGGCUGCACGAGACAGGGGAGCUGGCCGCGAGGCUCGACGGGUGCGAGAGCGGGGGCCCCGGCGCGUGCGAAGCGUGCGGGGACGCCCGGUUCGUGCUCUGCGAGGCCUGCUCCGGCAGCUGCAAGGUGUACGUGGACGAAGAGGACGACGAGGACGGUGAAGGGACGGGCGACGGGGGCGCAGGGUUCCGUCGCUGCACGGAGUGCAACGAGAACGGCAUCGUGAGGUGCUCCGUCUGCUGCUGCUCCUGA
rnacentral:rRNA from 1 species